rnacentral:rRNA from 1 species
UGAAUACGAGAUGCUACGGCGUCGAAGCAGUGUAUGUCAUACUUCCAAGAAAAGCUUGCAAUGUCAUAAACAAAUAAUGCCUGUACCAUAACCGACACAGGUGGUAGGUAGAGUAUACUAAGGGGCGCGAGAUAACUCUCUCUAAGGAACUCGGCAAAAUGACUCCGUAACUUCGGGAGAAGGAGUGCCUUAUUUAUAAGGUUGCAAUAACAAGAUCCAAGCAACUGUUUACCAAAAACACAGGUCUCCGCUAAGUCGUAAGACGAUGUAUGGGGGCUGACGCCUGCCCAGUGCCAGAAGGUUAAAGAAGUUGGUUAGCAUUAGCGAAGCUGAUGACUGAAGCCCUGGUGAACGGCGGCCGUAACUAUAACGGUCCUAAGGUAGCGAAAUUCCUUGUCGGGUAAGUUCCGACCCGCACGAAAGGCGUAAUGAUUUGGAUACUGUCUCGGAGAGGGGCUCGGUGAAAUAGACUUGUCUGUGAAGAUGCGGACUACCUGCACCUGGACAGAAAGACCCUAUGAAGCUUUACUGUAACUUGAGAUUGAAAUUGGACUUUAUUUGCGCAGUAUAGGUGGGAGGCGUUGAAAAAACUCUUGCGGGAAUUUUGGAGCCAUCAGUGAGAUACCACUCCUAUAAUGUUAGAUUUCUAACUUUGUAUCAUUAUCUGGUCAAAGAACAGUUUCAGGCGGGCAGUUUGACUGGGGCGGUCGCCUCCUAAACGGUAACGGAGGGGUACAAAGGUUUCCUCUGAACGGGUAGAAAUCGUAUCUAGAGUAUAAAGGCAUAAGGAAGCUUGACUGUGAGACCUACAAGUCGAGCAGGGACGAAAGUCGGUCUUAGUGAUCUGACGGUGCUGAGUGGAAAGGCCGUCACUCAACGGAUAAAAGUUACUCUAGGAUAACAGGCUGAUCUCCCCCAAGAGUUCACAUCGACGGGGAGGUUUGGCACCUCGAUGUCGGCUCAUCGCAUCCUGGGGCGGUAGUACGUCCCAAGGGUUGGGCUGUUCACCCAUGAAAGCGGUACGCGAGCUGGGUUCAGAACGUCGUGAGACAGUUCGGUCCAUAUCCGGUGUAGGCGUUAGAAUAUUGAGAGGAGCCUUCUUUAGUACGAGAGGACCGAGAAGGACAUACCUCUGGUGUACCAGUUAUCGUGCCAACGGUAAACGCUGGGUAGCUAUGUAUGGAGUGGAUAACCGCUGAAAGCAUCUAAGUGGGAAGCCCACCUUAAGAUAAGUAUUCUCC